GUGAGGAAUAUUGCGCAAUGGAGGCAACUCUGACGCAGCCAUGCCGCGUGCAGGAAGAAGGCGCUACGCGUUGUAAACUGCUUUUAACCGGGAAGAAACCCCAGGACGUGUCCUGGGUUGACGGUACCGGAGGAAUAAGCACCGGCUAACUUCGUGCCAGCAGCCGCGGUAAUACGAAGGGUGCAAGCGUUAUCCGGAUUCAUUGGGUUUAAAGGGUGCGUAGGCGGAGCGUUAAGUCAGUGGUGAAAUCCUGCAGCUUAACUGUAGACUUGCCAUUGGUACUGGCGCUCUUGAGUGCGCUUGAAGUGGGCGGAAUGUGCCGUGUAGCGGUGAAAUGCUUAGAUAUGGCACAGAACACCAAUUGCGAAGGCAGCUCACUAAGGCGAUACUGACGCUGAGGCACGAAAGCGUGGGGAUCGAACAGGAUUAGAUACCCUAGUAGUCC
rnacentral:rRNA from 1 species